UACGAAGGGGGCUAGCGUUGCUCGGAUUGACUGGGCGUAAAGGGCGCGUAGGCGGUUCGUUAUGUCGGAUGUGAAAGCCCUUGGCUUAACCGAGGAAAGUGCAUCCGAAACUGGCGAGCUAGAGUACUAAAGAGGAUCGCGGAAUUCCCGGUGUAGAGGUGAAAUUCGUAGAUAUCGGGAGGAACACCGGUGGCGAAGGCGGCGAUCUGGGUAGAUACUGACGCUGAGGUGCGAAAGCGUGGGGAGCAAACAGG
rnacentral:rRNA from 1 species